rnacentral:rRNA from 1 species
CUGAUGACUCUCAGUAGUGGAUAUCUCGGCUCUCGCAUCGGUGAAGAACGUAGUGAAAUGCAAUACCUGGUGUGAAUUGCAGAAUCCCGUGAGCCAGCAAUCUUUUGAAUGCAAGUUAAGCCCGAGGCCACCCGACCGAGGGCAUGCCUGCCUGGGCGUCGCGU